rnacentral:rRNA from 1 species
UACACACCGCCCGUCACACCAUGGGAGUGAAUUGCACCAGAAGUAGUUAGCCUAACCGCAAGGGGGGCGAUUACCACGGUGUGCUUUAUGACUGGGGUG